rnacentral:rRNA from 1 species
GAGACACGGCCCAGACUCCUACGGGAGGCAGCAGUGAGGAAUAUUGGUCAAUGGGCGGAAGCCUGAACCAGCCAAGUCGCGUGAGGGAUUAAGGCCCUGCGGGUCGUAAACCUCUUUUGCCGGGGAGCAGUGGUCCGGACGCGUCCGGGCCGGGAGAGUACCCGGAGAAAAAGCAUCGGCUAACUCCGUGCCAGCAGCCGCGGUAAUACGGAGGAUGCGAGCGUUAUCCGGAUUUAUUGGGUUUAAAGGGUGCGUAGGCGGGCAUUUAAGCCGGCGGUCAAAUGUCGGGGCUCAACCCCGGCCUGCCGUCGGAACUGGGUGCCUUGAGUGGGCGAGAAGUAUGCGGAAUGCGUGGUGUAGCGGUGAAAUGCAUAGAUAUCACGCAGAACCCCGAUUGCGAAGGCAGCAUACCGGCGCCCUACUGACGCUGAGGCACGAAAGUGCGGGUAUCGAACAGGAUUAGAUACCCUGGUAGUCCGCACAGUAAAC